rnacentral:rRNA from 1 species
GGGGAAUAUUGGACAAUGGGCGAAAGCCUGAUCCAGCAAUGCCGCGUGAGUGAUGAAGGCCUUAGGGUUGUAAAGCUCUUUUACCAGGGAUGAUAAUGACAGUACCUGGAGAAUAAGCUCCGGCUAACUCCGUGCCAGCAGCCGCGGUAAUACGGAGGGAGCUAGCGUUGUUCGGAAUUACUGGGCGUAAAGCGCGCGUAGGCGGCUUUGUAUGUCGAUUGUGAAAGCCCCGGGCUCAACCUGGGAACUGCAGUCGAAACUGCAAAGCUUGAAUGUUGGAGAGGUUGGGGGAAUACCUAGUGGAGAAGUGAAAUUCGUAGAGAUUAGGUGGAACACCAGAGGCGAAGGCGCCUGACUGGCCAAACAUUGACGCUGAGGCGCGAAAGCGUGGGUAGCAAA